UACGUAGGGUGCAAGCGUUAAUCGGAAUUACUGGGCGUAAAGCGUGCGCAGGCGGUUCUAUAAGACAGAUGUGAAAUCCCCGGGCUCAACCUGGGAACUGCAUUUGUGACUGUAGAGCUGGAGUACGGCAGAGGGGGAUGGAAUUCCGCGUGUAGCAGUGAAAUGCGUAGAUAUGCGGAGGAACACCGAUGGCGAUGGCAAUCCCCCGGGCCUGUACUGACGCUCAUGCACGAAAGCGUGGGGAGCAAACAGG
rnacentral:rRNA from 1 species